UUGUCGGACAAGUAACCGCAAGAGCUUGAUUGUGACCUCUAGCACAUCACCUACACUACCACGGCCACACUCACCACUCCAUGGCCACACAGGUAACAGUCCUUUGGACAGCCCCCGGAAUUUCUCUCCAAAUGCACCUGCUCACUUUUCUUUUGUUCCUGCCCGUAGGACUGAUGGACGGCGCUGGUCUUUGGCCUCUUUGCCCUCUUCAGGAUAUGGAACUAACACUCCUAGCUCCACUGUCUCAUCAUCAUGCUCCUCACAGGAAAAGCUGCAUCAGUUGCCUUUCCAGCCUACAGCUGAUGAGCUGCACUUUUUGACGAAGCAUUUCAGCACAGAGAGCGUACCAGAUGAGGAAGGACGGCAGUCCCCAGCCAUGCGGCCUCGCUCCCGGAGCCUCAGUCCCGGACGAUCCCCAGUAUCCUUUGACAGUGAAAUAAUAAUGAUGAAUCAUGUUUACAAAGAAAGAUUCCCAAAGGCCACCGCACAAAUGGAAGAGCGACUAGCAGAGUUUAUUUCCUCCAACACUCCAGACAGCGUGCUGCCCUUGGCAGAUGGAGCCCUGAGCUUUAUUCAUCAUCAGGUGAUUGAGAUGGCUCGAGACUGCCUGGAUAAAUCUCGGAGUGGCCUCAUUACAUCACAAUACUUCUACGAACUUCAAGAGAAUUUGGAGAAACUUUUACAAGAUGUGAGUGUCCUUGUGCUGGGGUUCUGAAAAAACCUCCACCUGGUAUUGGAUUCAUAAUCCCAAGCUAAGAUUAGGGCAUUAGUGGUAUUCUCAGUCUUCACAGACUGCUUGUUACCCACCCUCAAAGGUAGAACUGAGGGACUUAGAUUCCUCCUCAGUCCCCUGCAAUA
rnacentral:sRNA from 1 species